rnacentral:rRNA from 2 species
UUUCAGUAGGUGAACCUGCGGAAGGAUCAUUA